rnacentral:piRNA from 1 species
GUAGAGUUUAUGAAGGUGUUCUUUCUCCC